AUGGCGGGGGAGCUGGGGCAGCAGACGGUGGAGCUGGGGUCCGUGGUGCGGCGGGCGGCGGAGGAGUCGUACCUGGCGCUGCGGGAGCUCGUGGAGAAGUCGCAGGUCGAGUCCGACUGGAAGGGCGCCUAUGGCGGGCGGCAGCGGUCGGACUCCGAGAAGAAGAUUGACCUCCUCAAAUUCAUCGCCCGCACCCGCCAGCGCAUGCUCCGCCUCCAUGUGCUCGCCAAGUGGUGUCAGCAGGUUCCGUUGGUUCAGUACUGUCAGCAACUUGGAUCGACCCUUUCUAGCCAUGAAACAUGCUUCACCCAAACAGCUGACUCACUGUUCUUCAUGCAUGAGGGGUUGCAGCAAGCACGAGCUCCUACAUUUGAUGUUCCUUCUGCUUUAGAGGUUAUGCUUACAGGCAGUUAUCAGAGGUUACCAAGAUGUAUAGAAGAUAUAGGGAGCCAAAAUAAACUUUCUCCAGAUGAAGAAAAACAUGCUUUGCAGAAGUUGGACACCAGUGUGCGCUACAAAGUACUUGUGACUCCAAGACCCAAAGAAGCAUCUAGCAUUUCAGUAACUGAUGGGAUAGCUGUUUUUCGUGUGGAUGGAGAAUUUAAAGUUCUUCUUACGUUAGGUUACCGUGGUAACUUAGAUUUAUGGAGGAUACUGCACAUGGAGUUGCUUGUUGGUGAGAAGAAUGGCCCUAUUAAGCUGGGAGAAAUUAGGAGAUUUGCUCUUGGUGAUGAUAUAGAAAGAAGAAUGGCAGUUUCUGAGAAUCCCUUUUCUGUGCUGUAUGCUAUACUUCACGAGUUAAGCAUUUCACUUGCUAUGGACACUAUCAUUAGGCAGGCUAAUGUUCUUCGACACGGAAGGUGGAAGGAAGCAAUAAGUUCUGAACGUAUCCCAGACAGCACCACAGGUCAAACUGGAAAUGCUGCUGUAAUGCAGCUUGGUCAAGAUGGGGAAUUUGAUUCAAGUGGUUUUAGGUUACCUGUGUUGAAAUUGAAUUACUGGUUGGAUGGAAAAAACAGUGGCCCAGCAGAAUCUGAUUUAUCCCCAUUUAUCAAAAUUGAGGCAGGGCAAGACAUGCAGAUAAAAUGCCAGCAUAGCUCAUUUAUACUUGAUCCUUUGACAGAUAAAGAAGCUAAUCUUUCUCUUGAUCUGUCCUGCAUUGAUGUUGAGAAACUCAUUUUAAAAGCAAUUGCUUGCAAUAGGCACACGCGUCUUCUUGACAUUCAGAGACAAUUGUGCAAAAAUGUGCAAAUUUGUCAGUCACCCAAAGAUGUUAUCCUGAAGCGGGACAUUGGCGUAGCAAAGGCACCACAUAAGAAGACAGAGAAAGCGAGCUUUGCAGAUUUUUGUGGAAAUGAAGUGCUUCAAGUGCGAGCAUAUGGUCAAGCAUAUAUUGGUCUUGGAGUAAAUAUCAGGAGUGGUCGUUUCAUCCUACAAUCACCAAAGAAUAUCUUACCUCCUUCCGCUCUGCUGGAUUGGGAAGAAGCUCUAAACAAAGGCAGUAACACAGCGACUGAGGUUUUCUCAAGCUUAAGGACUAGGAGCAUCCUCCAUCUGCUUGUAUCUACUGGAAGUUUUUUUGGCCUCAAGGUUUAUGAGCAGUCUCAGGGUACUCUAAAGAUUCCAGAGGCUAUAUUACAUGGUUCAGAUCUGAUGGUUAUGGGAUUUCCGCAAUGCGCCAAUGCCUAUUAUCUGUUGAUGCAACUUGAUAAGGAUUUCAGGCCUGUUUUUCAUUUGCUUGAAACACAGUCUGACGCAAGCAAUAAGUUUAAUGCAAAUAUAGAUGCCAAAGAAGCCAUGAGGGUAAACAAGAUUGAUGUUGGGCAGAUGGAAAAAAUAAAAUAUGAGAAGAAUUCAAAUCCUUUUGAUGCCAAACUGCAUUCCCUACAAAGUAUAGAGAACUGUGAUGACAUGAUGGACAAUCAACUUCUCAUUCAGAAUAGUGUUGAUCCUCUUUCGCUGCUGCCUGCUUGUUCACCAUCGUUUUCAUCUAUUGUUGAUGAGACCUUCGAAUGUGAACAUGGUUCUAGUUUGCCUUCUGCUUCUCCUGUGCGCUCUCUUUCACUUGGUCCUCAAGGCGGAAGCACCAGAACUAUUUCACACAUGCAGGAUGGGGCCUUGUCUCAUGCCCAAGCUAAUAAUACCUCAAUAGUUCGUCCUGGUGUCGGUGUGAACAGCUAUUUCCCAACUAGUUUGAGCCAUUUACAGAGUACAAACGCCUUUUCGUCCUCUAACCCUGUAAGAAAUUCAUCUGCUAUCAAGUUGUCAAACUCUAAAUCUAAUCAUGACCUGAGUUCAUUGAGCUCUCCAAGUGAGCAUGGUAUUGCAGAUGGAAAUAAACCAUUUCAACUUGCCCCUUCAAGCACGUUGCCUGCUCAUUUGGUUCGAUCUUCACCUGCCAUUGAAGGAUUAGGGAAGGCCAUCACCGUAGGCGCUGAUUGUGCACCUAGAAAGCGCUCUCUUUCAGAUUUCCUGCUAGAUCUCCCUUCACUGCAAGGACUGAAAUCCAGUGAGCCAAGUAAGCGAAGAAAAAUAUCAGAAUCGGUGCAGAGUUCCCUUCCUUUGCAGGCAUACUCUUCUAGUUCACAAUCAGGAACCAGCCUCACCCAUGGAAAUAAUAUUCUUGCCGAAAGAAAUAAUUGUGUUCCAGCAACUGUGUAUGCUUCAGUGCUACUACAUGUAAUACGGCACUGUUCGCUAUGCAUCAAGCAUGCUCAACUAACUGCCCAGAUGUAUUCUAGCGCCAUUCCAUAUGUCGAAGAAGUGGGCAUGCGAUCACCAUCCUCGAAUAUUUGGUUCAGGUUACCGUUUGCUCAAGAUGAUUCUUGGAAACACAUAUGCUUACGCCUUGGGAAGGCUGGAAGCAUGUCAUGGGAUGUUAGGAUAAAUGAUCCACAUUUCAAGGAACUUUGGGAGCUCAAUGGAGGAAGCACCUCAACACCGUGGGGUGUUGGUGUACGCAUAGCUAACACAUCUGAGAUGGAUUCACAUAUCUCUUUUGACGCGGAUGGUGUUGUUUUAACUUAUAGCAGUGUUGAGGCAGAUAGUGUUAAGAGGCUUGUGUCAGAUUUACAACGGCUUGCCAAUGCACGUGUAUUUGCUCGUGGAAUGAGGAGAUUGAUCGGUGUAAAACUUGAUGAUAAGCUAGAUGAUAACCAUAUAUCUGUGGGGAUGAAAUCACAGUCUGUUAAUAAAGGCCAUAGUGAUGCUGACAGGCUAUCUGAACAGAUGGGAAAGCCAUUCAGGAUUGAAGCUGUUGGCCUAAUGAGCUUUUGGUUCAGCUAUGGCCAUAUGCCAAUGGUUCACUUUGUUGUCGAAUGGGAAACUGCUAAGGAAGGUUGCACAAUGCAUGUUUCUCCUGACCAGCUUUGGCCACACACAAAGUUUUUGGAGGAUUUCGUGAAUGGUGGUGAGGUUGCAUCCUUCUUGGAUUGUAUUCGGCUAACAGCAGGACCUUUACUUGCUCUUGGGGGUGCAAUUCGUCCUGCACGGAUGCCUGUAACAGUUUCGACUGGGUACAGCUCAAUGCCAAAGCAAACUAAUAAUGUCACCUCCCAGGGGCCAGUAGCAAAUGGUUCAUCUGCAACAACUAUGCAUCAUGCAUCUGCCCCAUCAAAUGCUACGGCACAUUUGGGUGGUCAUACUCUUCAUACUGCUGCCAUGCUCUCCGCUGCUGGACGGGGUGGACCUGGACUCGUUCCUAGUUCAUUGCUGCCUUUUGAUGUUUCCGUCGUGCUUCGGGGCCCAUACUGGAUACGCAUUAUAUAUCGCAAGAAGUUUUCUGUUGACAUGCGUUGCUUCGCCGGGGAUCAGGUUUGGCUACAGCCCGCAACCCCUCCUAAGGGUGGGCCUUCAGUUGGCGGGUCAUUACCAUGUCCACAAUUUAGACCUUUCAUAAUGGAGCAUGUUGCUCAAGGUCUAAAUGCUCUUGAACCUGCUUUCAUGAAUGCUACACAGCCUGGUCCACACUUAAAUACUAGUGCUGGAGCUCCACAAUCUGUUCCUGUCGCAAACCGUUUAAAUGCCACCCCUGGUGUUGCUAUGUCCAGGCCAACUUCUAGUGUCGCCAACCAUGUAGCAGCUAGUUUGAGUCGAGCAGGAAAUGCCAUGUUGUCUUCUUCAGGUCUUGCUUCAGGGAUUGGUGGAGCCUCUGUGCGACUAACACCUGGAACUGGCCUUCCUGUUCAUAUGAAAGGAGAACUAAACACAGCCUUCAUUGGGCUUGGGGAUGAUGGUGGCUACGGUGGUGGUUGGGUUCCGUUGGCAGCUCUCAAGAAGGUGUUAAGAGGGAUUCUUAAGUACCUUGGAGUUCUAUGGUUGUUUGCACAGUUGCCUGAACUUCUGAAAGAGAUAUUGGGGUCAAUUUUGAAGGACAACGAAGGGGCUCUUUUGAAUUUGGAUCAAGAGCAGCCUGCACUGCGGUUCUAUGUGGGAGGUUAUGUAUUUGCAGUUAGCGUCCAUCGGGUUCAACUGCUUCUACAAGUUCUGAGUGUUAAGCGGUUUCACCACCAGCAACAGCAACAGCAAGCUCAGAGCAAUGCUCAGGAGGAGCUGACAUCUGCCGAGAUCAACGAGAUAUGUGAUUAUUUCAGCAGGCGUGUUGCCUCUGAACCAUAUGAUGCUUCAAGAGUUGCUUCUUUUAUCACUUUGCUUACAUUACCUAUAUCGGUGCUGAGAGAAUUUUUGAAGCUGAUUACUUGGAAGAAAGGGUUUUCCCAGGCUCAUGGCGACAUUGCAACUGCUCAGAGGGCUCGCAUUGAGCUUUGUUUGGAAAAUCACUCAGGAUCAGCUUCAGAUGAUAGAACAGAAAGCUCUUUAGCUAAGAGCAAUAUUCAUCAUGACAGAGCCCACAGUUCAGUAGAGUUUGCUCUCACGUUUGUACUUGACCAUGCGCUCAUUCCUCACAUGAACGUAGCUGGUGGAGCUGCCUGGCUUCCGUAUUGUGUGUCCGUGAGACUGAGGUAUUCUUUUGGAGACAACAGCCAUAUAUCGUUCCUUGCAAUAAAUGGGAGCCAUGGUGGGAGAGCUUGCUGGCUGCAGUCUGAAGAUUGGGAGAGAUGUAAGCAGAAGGUGGCGAGGGCAGCGGAGACUGUGAAUGGGACCCCUGCUGUUGCAGAACCCGGCCAAGGAAGGCUGCGAAUGGUUGCUGAGAUGAUACAAAAGCAACUCCAACUUUGUCUACAGCAGCUGAGAGACGGACCACUUUCGGCUGGCUCAACUGCUUCAUGA
rnacentral:rRNA from 1 species